AGUGAUUGUGAAUAUAAAAUAUCUUCUUACAAAAGAGGAAUGAGGGAAGAUGGAGAGAAACUAAUGUGUUGAUAAGCCUCUGACUCAAACAACGCGGUGCUUCUGGCAAAGUGACCAGCUGACAACCUAGAAGGAAAGUAACUUCUAGUGCCAGCUCUCUGCAAGGUGGUACUGCACUACGAAUAACCUGGUAGCUCCCAGCAGGGAUGUGAGAGGCAUCGGACCUCACAGAGGGCAGGGCUGAAGCCCCACUCCCUUAAAAUUGUUUUCUUCUCUCUUCCAAAAUACUUUCUGCAUGCUCCAACCAACUCUGCGUUUGAA
rnacentral:lncRNA from 1 species